UGGUGCUUGCACCUGAUUGAUUUUGGUCGCCAACGAGUGGCGGACGGGUGAGUAACACGUAGGUAACCUGCCCAGAAGCGGGGGACAACAUUUGGAAACAGAUGCUAAUACCGCAUAACAACGUUGUUCGCAUGAACAACGCUUAAAAGAUGGCUUCUCGCUAUCACUUCUGGAUGGACCUGCGGUGCAUUAGCUUGUUGGUGGGGUAACGGCCUACCAAGGCGAUGAUGCAUAGCCGAGUUGAGAGACUGAUCGGCCACAAUGGGACUGAGACACGGCCCAUACUCCUACGGGAGGCAGCAGUAGGGAAUCUUCCACAAUGGGCGCAAGCCUGAUGGAGCAACACCGCGUGAGUGAAGAAGGGUUUCGGCUCGUAAAGCUCUGUUGUUAAAGAAGAACACGUAUGAGAGUAACUGUUCAUACGUUGACGGUAUUUAACCAGAAAGUCACGGCUAACUACGUGCCAGCAGCCGCGGUAAUACGUAGGUGGCAAGCGUUAUC
rnacentral:rRNA from 1 species